rnacentral:misc_RNA from 1 species
ACUCUUGAAUUAUGUGAACUCCAAAAACCUCUAGAAUUUUAUUUCAAAGUAAUUCGAGGGCACGAUUAUUCUGGGAAAAUUUGCUGAGCCUUACACAAACAAAGCAUCCCAACAUGAAGCUAAGCUUCAUCCGUCACAUAAUAUGAAGGUUGUAAGGAUGAUGGUCCAUUGAACAACUUUGCUUUAAGACCAAAAACAUGGUCAUGUAAACACCUGUGUGGUGGAGUGUAGAUGAUGGAGGAAAUAAUGAAUGGCGUAAUUUAAGGAUGUAGGACAUUGUAGGAUACGACCUCGUGGAUGCGUUUGUCAUCGUCAUCUCCCCUCCAAUACAACUGCCUCGAUUCACUGCUUCGUUUGACAGAAUGGCUCAGUAUUCACUAAGCAGUUGGACUGUGACACUUGCAUACAGUGGUCGACGAUAAAUUUAUUAUUCUUAGCACAUAGCAAUAUCAUGAAAUUUGAUAAACAAACUGAAAAGAAAAGUUGAUAGUUAUUAUUUUUAAUUCAACUUUUGUUUACACUUUUAAUUACUGUCGACAAAUUGAUUAUUUAUCCAUUAUUAUUUUAAAUAAAAAAAUGUGUCUGAUACUUGUUUGUCACGUGUUUUAUACACGUACAGUGUAAAAAAGUGCUACUCUACACUUGAAGAUUAAGUUUGAGUGUCUUUAAUGGGCCUUUUGAACUCUUGAGAAAAAGGACAACUCUCAAAGCCUCUAGAGUUUAGUUAUUUUUUUCUGUGACAAUUCUACGAACGUCUGUUCAUAUGAGACUAUUUAAUUUAAUGAUAUGAUAUUGCAACUAUUUAGCUGGCAAAUGAACAUCUUCUGAAUCCAAUGAGAGACAUAGAAACUCCGAAAUGACUGGGGAUUUACUCAUUUCUGGAUUCAAUUACUUUGAUACAGAAGUCCAUGUUGGAGAAAUAAUAUAAAGUAUUAUCUUUUUCAAUUGUUUGAAUGUAUAAUUAAAAUUGAUUGACACUAGUUAAAGUUUUAUUUGGAGUUUGAUUAUAAAUAAAUAAGUUAUUAAUUUAAAAUAGUGCAACGAAAAUUAAAACUAAAGUGACGUUAAAUUGAAUGCUUGAUAAAUUUGAAAAAUCGUUUAUCAAGAUGUCUAUAAGAGUUUAGCUUGUGUAAUAUCAAACAGUCGAUGAACCAAAAGCUUCUGUGAAGAGUUGAGUAGCAAUUUCAGACGGAUAAAAAAUUUGAAGAUGACAGGAGCAGAAUCAGGUUUGAGUAUGAGUAGUGUAGCAACUUGGCUUCCGCAAGUAACGAAUGCAGCCAACCAGACAAUAAUAGAAGGGGAAAUAUCCAGAUUUCCAAAACCUCUGAGGACUUUUGCAGCAGUUGUGGCAAUUCUGAUACUACUAACCGGUCUUUUGGGAAAUCUUUUAACUAUUAUUGCCCUUUGUAAAUAUCCCAAAGUGCGGAAUGUUGCAGCAGCAUUUAUUAUUAGUCUUUGUGUAGCAGAUUUCAUCUUCUGCGUCUUAGUGUUACCUUUUGAUUCAAUAAGGUUUAUAAAUAGUAGUUGGACUGACAUAAGAUUUUUCUGCAUUCUUGUGCCAUUUUUGAGAUACGGAAAUGUUGGAGUUAGUCUUCUUUGUGUUGGUGCCAUAACUGUCAAUCGUUACAUCAUGAUAACACAUCACAAUCUUUAUAGUAAAGUUUACAAAAAGCAUUGGAUUGCUAUGAUGAUUAUAUUUUGCUAUGUAUUCUCUUAUGGAAUGCAAAUUCCUACACUUAUUGGAUCUUGGGGAAAGUUUGAUUAUGAUCCUAAUUUGGAAACAUGUUCAAUUGUAAAAGAUUCAAAAGGUCAAAGUUCGAAAACCUUUCUUUUUGUUACUGGCUUCUUUAUACCUUGCAUUGUCAUAGUUGGUUGUUACGCUAAAAUAUUUUGGGUUGUUCACAGCUCUGAAUCGAGAAUGCGUAAGCAUGCAAGUCCAACGAUAAAGUCCCCUCACACUCCCGGUCGAGACACAAGGGAGAUAAAGCAAAAGCGAAGCGAAUGGAGAAUAACAAAAAUGGUACUAGUAAUUUUUGUGAGCUUUGUUGCCUGUUACUUACCAAUUACUAUUGUAAAAGUUGCUGAUCCAGAAGUUAAAUAUCCAGGUUUACAUGUUCUGGGCUACCUGUUGCUGUACUUUUCUUCGUGUGUCAAUCCUAUAAUCUACGUAAUCAUGAACAAACAAUACAGACAAGCAUACGCGGGUGUGAUAAGCUGUUCAAAGAUUAGAGCAACCCUGACACCUCAUGGGAGCAGCAAUCCAGGACAAAAUAACUUUGGCCAAGGAUUGCCAGAUGCGAGCUAGAUAAAUAGCGCAGUUACUUUACUACUAACGCGGAUCGGCGAUAGCAUGUUUAAGAAUGGAGAAUGAGCUAGAUUAUUCCAAAGAUUACAGCAAAACUAUGGUGUCUACAGUCUCAAUGGCCAUGAAUCCUGUUAUAAGAAAAUCCGAACUACCAGAUGAUUUUUAAAAAAGAAUCUGGGAUAUUUACAUAAUUUUUAAAAUUAUGGGACCAAUAGUCAUAGUAAUGAAUUGCAUUUUUAUGAAAUUUUUUUUCAUGUAAGCAUUUUUUGUACUCUUUGGCGAUUACAGCGCGCUUAGUUAUUAAAAUAGUUAAAUGAGUUAUUUAUUUAUAUGAUAGAAUAAGCCAGUUGAUGGUAACUGAAAUGUUACGCAGAUGUAUUGAAGAUUUUAUAAUGUGUAGCUAAUAAUUGAUAAACUUAUAUCAAUUAUCUGGUCAUUUCUCUGAUAAUUUUCACAUCGACGAUAUGA